UACGUAGGGCGCAAGCGUUGUCCGGAAUUAUUGGGCGUAAAGAGCUCGUAGGCGGCCUGUUGCGUCCGCUGUGAAAUCCCGGGGCUUAACCCCGGGCUUGCAGUGGAUACGGGCAGGCUGGAGGCAGGCAGGGGAGAACGGAAUUCCCGGUGUAGCGGUGAAAUGCGCAGAUAUCGGGAGGAACACCGGUGGCGAAGGCGGUUCUCUGGGCCGAUACUGACGCUGAGGAGCGAAAGCGUGGGGAGCGAACAGG
rnacentral:rRNA from 1 species